rnacentral:rRNA from 1 species
ACACCGGCAGCCCAAGUGGUGGCCACUUUUAUUGGGCCUAAAGCGUUCGUAGCCGGCCUGAUAAGUCUCUGGUGAAAUCCCGCAGCUUAACUGUGGGAAUUGCUGGAGAUACUAUCAGGCUUGAGGUCGGGAGAGGUUAGAGGUACUCCCAGGGUAGGGGUGAAAUCCUAUAAUCCUGGGAGGACCACCUGUGGCGAAGGCGGCGAAUUGGAAGGAACCUGACGGUGAUUAACGAAAGCCAGGGGCGCGACGCGGAUUAGAUACCCGGGUGGUCCUGGCCGUAAACGAUGGGGACUUGGUGGUGGGAUGGCCUCGAGCUGCCCCAGUGCCGAAGGGAAGCUGUUAAGUCCACCGCCUGGGAAGUACGGUCGCAAGACUGAAACUUAAAUGAAUUGGCGGGG